rnacentral:rRNA from 1 species
GACGAACGCUGGCGGCGUGCUUAACACAUGCAAGUCGAACGAUGAAGCCGGAGCUUGCUCUGGUGAAUUAGUGGCGAACGGGUGAGUAACACGUGAGUAACCUGCCCUUGACUCUGGGAUAACUGCGGGAAACUGUAGCUAAUACCGGAUACGACCCUCGGAGGCAUCUCAUGGGGGUGGAAAGAAUUUCGGUCGAGGAUGGACUCGCGGCCUAUCAGCUAGUUGGUGAGGUAAAGGCUCACCAAGGCGACGACGGGUAGCCGGCCUGAGAGGGUGACCGGCCACACUGGGACUGAGACACGGCCCAGACUCCUACGGGAGGCAGCAGUGGGGAAUAUUGCACAAUGGGCGCAAGCCUGAUGCAGCAACGCCGCGUGAGGGAUGACGGCCUUCGGGUUGUAAACCUCUUUUAGCAGGGAAGAAGCGAAAGUGACGGUACCUGCAGAAAAAGCACCGGCUAACUACGUGCCAGCCGCCGCAGUAA